CAUCUCUAUCACGUACAACCAACAGUUUCACUACUUGUUCCACUCUCACGUAUACACUAUCAGAUCACCCACUGUACAUAUUUCCUUUUACUUUUCACGUUUCUUGUAAUAUCCCCAAAUGACAUUCCUCUUCACCACAUAUUUUUUUUUAAGAUCUGUAUAUGAGUUUUGUUUAUCUAAAAAAACAUCAACUAAUCUUUUCUAACCUUCAGGUCAUAAACUCUUCACAAAACAUAACAUACAAAAACAAUUUCCAUCAACACCAUGAACACAUAUCAUUAACUUCCCUUUAACCUCCGCCAAUCGCAACACAACAGUCGCGCCGUCGACCAAUCAUUCUUAAUAUCUUUAUUCAUACUUGUUUUCUUGUGUGUUUGUUUCUUUGGUUUUGUUUACAGGAAGGAGAAACAGCGGUAAAAAGAUGGAAGAAGAUCUGAAUCCGCCGUCAAAGACUGUCGAACAGCCGCAUCCUCAGACUCCAGUCUACAAAGCCGCAGCUUGUCUACAACCGCUAGACACGUCUCCAAACUUCAGCCGCGAAGCACCACGCCGAUCUUAACUUGAAGCACCCAGCCACGACCAAUUCGAGUUGUUUUAUUAAAAAACGGAGUCGCACCGACGUUGCCUUUAUGUCGACACCGAGUUUGUUCCAGAUCCACCGCGCGGUAGCCCUUAGCUUAGCCACCGAUCCACCGCGAUGUACUAUCCUCUGUCGGCCAUCCUUCAUUCAGGACCUUUCUAAUUCUUAUUUUUUGCAUAUAUUUUAUUCUCAUAAUUAUUGUGACCGUUUCUUAUUUGUAAUAGUUAAUUAGGACUUUACUUUCUGCAUUCCCGCCAGGUUUUUAUUGUAACCCCCUCCCCCAAAGCGAUGUAAUAGCGUAGGAACCUGUACUUUCCCGCAAUUUAUUUUCUGUAAAUAUAUUAACUGCUAGUAA